rnacentral:rRNA from 1 species
GACGGAGGGUGCAAGCGUUGCUCGGAAUCACUGGGCGUAAAGGGCGCGUAGGCGGCCGUGCGAGUCUGGCGUGAAAGCCCCGGGCUCAGCCCGGGAAGUGCGCUCGAAACUGCGCGGCUCGAGUGCCGGAGGGGAGAGUGGAAUUCCUGGUGUAGCGGUGAAAUGCGUAGAUAUCAGGAGGAAUACCGGUGGCGAAAGCGACUCACUGGACGGCAACUGACGCUGAGGCACGAAAGCGUGGGGAGCAAACAGG